rnacentral:tRNA from 1 species
GAGGGUAGAGCUCAGUGGUAGAGCAUGUGCUUAGCAUGCACAAGGUUCUGGGUUCAAACCCCAGUACCUCCA